UACGAAGGGGGCUAGCGUUGCUCGGAAUCACUGGGCGUAAAGGGUGCGUAGGCGGGUUUUUAAGUCAGGGGUGAAAUCCUGGAGCUCGAACUCCAGAACUGCCUUUGAUACUGAAGAUCUUGAGUCCGGGAGAGGUGAGUGGAACUGCGAGUGUAGAGGUGAAAUUCGUAGAUAUUCGCAAGAACACCCGUGGCGAAGGCGGUUCUCUGGGACGGUACUGACGCUGAGACGCGAAAGCGUGGGGAGCGAACAGG
rnacentral:rRNA from 1 species